rnacentral:rRNA from 1 species
AUCCUACGGGAGGCAGCAGUGGGGGAUAUUGGACAAUGGGGGAAACCCUGAUCCGGCGAUGCCGCGUGAGGGAAGAAGGUUUUCGGAUUGUAAACCUCUGUGGAGGGGGAUGAUAAUGACGGUACCCCUUUAGGAAGCCACGGCUAACUACGUGCCAGCAGCCGCGGUAAUACGUAGGUGGCGAGCGUUGUCCGGAAUUACUGGGUGUAACGGGAGUGUAGGCGGGAAAGCAAGUCAGAAGGGAACACUAUGGGCUUAACCCAUAGCCUGCUUUUUAAACUGUUUUUCUUUAGUGAAGU